rnacentral:rRNA from 1 species
GACACAGGGAGGUAGUGACAAGAAAUAACAAUACGGGGCUUAAAGUCUUGUAAUUGGAAUGAUGGGAAUUUAAACCUCUUCCAGAGUAUCAAUUGGAGGGCAAGUCUGGUGCCAGCAGCCGCGGUAAUUCCAGCUCCAAUAGCGUAUAUUAAAAUUGUUGCAGUUAAAAAGCUCGUAGUUGAAUUUUUGCUGCAUUGCUUGUGUCCCUCUGGGGUCUGUGCAUGUGGCUUUUUUCGGACGGAGUUUCUUUGUCUGAAUGUUUACUUUGAGAAAAUUAGAGUGCUCAAAGCAGGCUUUCGCCUUGAAUAGUUUAGCAUGGAAUAAUAAAGUAGGACUUUGGUUCUAUUUUGUUGGUUUUAGGUACCAAAGUAAUGGUUAAUAGGAACAGUUGGGGGCAUUCGUAUUUAACUGUCAGAGGUGAAAUUCUUAGAUUUGUUAAAGACGAACUACUGCGAAAGCAUUUGCCAAGGAUGUUUUCAUUAAUCAAGAACGAAAGUUAGGGGAUCGAAGACGAUCAGAUACCGUCGUAGUCCUAACCAUAAACUAUGCCGACUAGAGU